rnacentral:rRNA from 1 species
AUUGAACGCUGGCGGCAUGCCUUACACAUGCAAGUCGAACGGCAGCACGGGGCAACCUGGUGGCGAGUGGCGAACGGGUGAGUUAUGCAUCGGAACGUACCUUUCAGUGGGGGAUAACGAAGCGAAAGUUACGCUAAUACCGCAUAUUCUGUGAGCAGGAAAGCAGGGGAUAGCAAGACCUGGCGCUGUUUGAGGGGCCGAUGGCAGGUUAGCAAGUUGGUGAGGUAAAGGCUCACCAAGGCGACGAUCUGUAGCGGGUCUGAGAGGAUGAUCCGCCACACUGGAACUGAGACACGGUCCAGACUCCUACGGGAGGCAGCAGUGGGGAAUUUUGGACAAUGGGGGCAACCCUGAUCCAGCCAUGCCGCGUGAGUGAAGAAGGCCUUCGGGUUGUAAAGCUCUUUCGGCCGGGAAGAAAUCGCACGGGCUAAUACCCUGUGUGGAUGACGGUACCGGAAUAAGAAGCACCGGCUAACUACGUGCCAGCCGCCGCGGUAACAC